rnacentral:lncRNA from 1 species
GGGGAGGCCAUUGGCUGACCAUAUUGCUACGGCAGUGUUUCCUCCUGAAGAGGAAGGAACUGAGAGAUGGGAAGCGUUACAGGUAGGAACAGACAGAGCUGGAAGGCAAAAGUGGCCACAUGAACCAAAUGCAUUGAUGAUCUCUGUAUCCGAGAAGAGAGUGGCAAGGUCGAGGAUGGCCAAGGAGAGAACCCAGUCUUCCUCUUGACGACAGACUAGAGCAAAACUGUUCUUUUCCUGCUCUGUGAAUGGUUAAGGGGAAAAGAGCAGCCACUGGCCUGGCUAUUGACAAGCCAAUGAGAUAUGCUGGGUCUAACCGAGUUGUCUCUUAGCAAGGCAGUUAGUGGCCGGCACUGGUUCUUUUAACUGCUCUAAACACCAGACAACACAGUCUCUGCAGCCCUUGAAGGCGACCUCAAGCUUCAGUCCUCUACAGAAGGUAUUUCCUCCAGGCCAGACUGCACCAGGAUAUAACCUGAGGAUGUGGGAGCCUACAACUUCAACAUUGUUGAGUUACCAUUGUGUGUCAAUGCCAAGAUUCCUGCCUUCUGCCCUGCCCCCAGCACUUCUGAUGCUGCAUUGUAUCAGCACACGCAGAUGAAUCUCAGACCACCCAGAGCUAAGAAACUUCUCUUCAGAAUGGUCUCAUUUGGAGACAUUGAGAGGAAUGGCUUCCCUUCCUUCGCUGGAUUUUAGCAUAUUUUGGAGCAAGGAUAGAUGACAGCUUUGAGAAGAUGAGACUGCAGGGCACAGGCACACACUGGAUUGACCCAGUGGGAAGCAAGGAAAUCUCAGUUCAGAGUUGGAUGUCCUCCACAGAACAGGCUGGUUGACUCCCACGAUGCCAGUCAGCUAGGCUGAGUUUCAAGUUGUCAGUCCACUGCUAUGCUUGCUCCUCUGGGAAAAAUGAAAACACAACAACUGUGGGUUACCCAUGGACUAUUGGUGUUGGUCAACAUGUCCCUGCAGGACCCCCUCCCCAGCUAUUUCUCUUUUUAGAAGAUAGAAGCCUUGGAUACCAGUGCUGGCUGCUCCUCAGCUCGGUCAGCCGCCCAAAGCCCUCCCAGGUUCCUGUGGGCACGCUGUCACAUUCACGUUUCACUGCUCUGGACUGCGAAAACAGCUUUUCACAAACUAAACAACCAAAAGCCCCGGACAAGUGUAUCUGAAUUUGUGAAGGUCUCUGGGAGUGUUUUAUUUCCUUUUCUUGAGCAUAGUUAUUUAAAAAUAAAUGGUAAGGACUUAUAAUGGCA